GCGGCCCCACCCCGCGCACGGCCGGACCCCGCCUCCCGCCCGCGUCCCGCGCGGUCCUAGAGCCCGCGCGCCGGCGGAGCUCGGGCGGCGAGAGCGGCGCGCGGGGAGCGUCCGCCCGCCGCUGCUUGGGCGGCGGCGGCCUGAGUAAGUCCCGGAAGGGACUGACCCGCCGCCUCUGCCGAGAACGAGGGGACAGCCGGCCCCCACUGCCCAAACAGAAAACGGAGCUGAUGAUCUGGAUAAUUCUGGGUGGCGUGGGAGGAAACGUGCUUCUGUACGGUUAAAAUAACCCGAUAAGCAUCCCUACGUCCCAGGCACUUAACAAAAUGUAAGGUGGUCUGUUUCUUUGACAUACGUUGGGUCAAAACACCGUGACUUCGCGAAAAGACAAAUUAGUAAGAUAAAAAUGAAACUGUAUAUUUCGCUCCGUGAAUUAAGAAAUAAAUAAUGAGGAAAGGGAGCCAAGCCGCCUUCCCGCCUCCCCUGCUGGCCAUAAAUUUAGAGUAUGUUUAUAAAUACAGUACCUAAAUAUAUUUGUUCUGAAAGUUGAGUUCCAAAGCAGGGAAGAUCUCAACCCAGCCGUGAUGAUGACGUUACCAUAGACAAGUCUCGCAAGUGAGAAAAAUGUCGUGUGAGAGCUACUUAAGCCGUGGCAGCUAAGGGAAACAGGUUUAACGUGCCAGAAUUUGAGCCCACCAAGACGCUUCUUCGUCCAUGAAUCCUAAAACGUCACAGGAAGGAAGGCCACCAGCUUUACACAUCAUGUUACACGAGAACUGGCCUUUUUAAAGAUAGAUUCCUGAUAGAAUUGUCAAGAGUUGUGUCUAGGUGAUGUUAUAGAAGUCUAAAUUCAUGAGGGAUGUCAUAGAACUUCACAAUGCCUUAGCCUCAGGUCGACUGGAGAGGCACGGAUAUAAAAAGAGAUCCUUCUAUGUGCUAGGCACUGCCCUGGGGUAUUUCUUACCAUAUGCGAUACAGUUAAGAUAAGAUUUGACUGAAACACCACACUAUUGUACCCAGAGCUUAGAAGGAGUCGUCUGGGUUUGGAACAGUUUUUACAAAGACCGUUGUACCUAGAGAAACAUGAGUAUGUGUAUAACUGACUUGUUUGGGGCCUUCCUGAGUGCGGAAACUGCAAAAUUUACCCAGGUAACUUCAAGGACCAAGCAAGUAAACAGCCCAGGGCCAGCUUAAUCUACUCGGUUUUAAAUUUUUGAAUAUUUUUUUCAUUUGAAUAGUUUUACACAAUCCUGCAAAGACCAGAACCUUGCGAGCUACUUCAUAUUUUCUGUUACUCAUCUCGUGUCUAGUUAACCACGCGUCACCUCAUACAGGCAUAGCACGGAGACAUCGUGGGCUUGGUUCCAGACCACCGCAAAAAAGCAAAUAUUGCAAUAAAGCAAGUCAAAUUAAUUUGGGAGUCUCCCAGGACAUAUAAAAAGUUCCGGUUACACUCGACUACAGUCUUUUAAGUGUGCAAUAGCAUUGUGUCUAAAACACAAUGUACCUUAACUUAAAAAAUACGUUUAUUACGAUUGUUAUAUAUUAUAUACAUAUAUAUGCAUAUGGCAAUUUUGUAAAAGAAAACAAUAAAGUUUGCCCCAUUGACGGACUCUUUCACGGACAAUUUCCCUGUAGUGUCUCCCCCUCAGUAGAACCUCCUUCAAAGCUGGAGUCUAUCCUCUCAAAUCCUGCCCUGCUUGAACUUCUAAAUCCCGUGUUGUCACGUCAACAGGCUUCACAGCAUCUUCAGCAGGAGCAGAGUCCCAUCUGGAGAAACCACGUUCUCUGCUCAGCGGUGAGAAGCAGUCCUCACCCCAUCGCGUCCUGUCACGAGAUCGCGGCAACGCCGUCCACCUUCAGGCCCCACUUCGUCUAGUCCUGGUUCUCUCGCUGUUUCCACCACAUCCGCCGUGAUUGCCUCCACCGACGCCCCGAGCCCCCAGAGUCAUCCCCAAGGGUGGGAAUCACUUCUGCCAAACGCCAGCAGAGGUGGAUAUUGUGCCCUCUGCCCGUGCAUAUUGAAUGUUCUUAAUAGCAUCCAGAAUCUAGAAUGUUCUUAAUGGCAUCUAGAAUCCUUUCCAGAAGGUUUUAUUUGCUUAGCCCAGAUCUAUCAGAGGGAUCACUACGUAUGGCAGCUAUGACCUUACAAAACCUACCUAUUAAAAUAUAAGACCUGUGGGGUUUUGUACAUAGCAGGGCUCUCGGGUGACCAGGUGUAUUGGUCCGUGAGGAGGAAUAUUUUGAAAGGAAUCAUUUCUCUUAGCGGUAGUUCUCAACAGUGGGCUUCAAAUAUUCAGUAAACCGUGCUGUAAACAGACGUGCUGUCAUUCGAGCUUCGGGGUAUCGUCUAUAGAGCACAGGCAGAGUCGAUUCAGCAGAAUUCUGAAGGGCCGGGGGGUUUUUGGAAUGGUCAGUGAGCACUGACUUCAUAUCACCAGCUGCCUUAGCCCCUGACAAGACAGAAGCUUUGAGGCCGGCCACUGACUUCUCUCUAGCUGUGCAAGUCCUCAGUGGCAUCUUCUUCCACUAGAAGGCCAUUUCGUCUACACUGAAAACCUGUUGUUCAGUAGUCCCACCGUCGUUACCAUCGCACCUAGACCCGGAUACGUCGCCGCAGCUCCACACCGGCAUUUGCGGGUUUACCUUGCGAUGUUACGGCACAGAGACGGAUUCUUUCCGUCAAGGUCACGAGCCUUCGAACGUUUCUUCUGGCGCUUCCUCACCUCUCUCGGCCUUCACAGAAAGGAUUACAGUUGGGUCCUCGCUGUGGAUCAGGCUUUGGCUCAAGGGAAUGUUGCGGCUGUUGUGAUGUCUCUCCGGAACACUCAGAAUGCCUCCAUAUCAGCGAUAACACCGUUUCACUUGCGUAUCAUUUGUAACACAGCACUUUAAACUUCCUUCAAGAUUGUUUCCUCUUCGUUCCCAGCUUGGCUAGUGUUUUUGCUGCAGAGGCCCAGCUUUUGGCCUAUCUUGGCUUUCACCAUGCCUUCCGCACUAAGCUUAAUCACGUCUAGGUUUUUUUUUUUUUAAAGCAAACUUCUUUUUUUUUAAACGUUUAUUCAUGUUCGAGAGACAGAGCAGAAGCAGGGAAGGGGCAGAGAGAGAGGGAGACACAGAAUCAGAAACAGGCGCCAGGCUGUCAGCACAGAGCCUGAUGGGGGCUCGAACCCACCAACCGCGAGAUCAUGACCUGAGCCAGGGUCUGACGCUCAGCCGACAGAGCCACCCAGGCGCCCCUCGUCGCUUCUGGUUUUAAGUGAGAGACAUGUGGCUUUUUCCUUUCAUUUGAGCACUUAGAGGCCAUUACAGGGUUACUAAUUGGCCUAAUUUCAAUAUCGCUGUGUCCCAGGGAAUAGGGAGACCCAAAGAGAGAGAGAGAGAGAGAGAGAGAGAGAGAGGAGGAACAACCUGAGCAGUCAGAACACACACAUUUAUUGACUAAGUUCAUCAUCUUAUAUGGGUGCCGUUUGUGGCACCCCAAAAUUACAAAGUGAUUGCGGGAUCACUGAUCACAGAUCACCACAACAGAUACAAUAAUGCAAAACGUUGAUGUAUCCCAAGAACCAGCAAAAUGUGACACAGAGCCCAUGAAGUGAGCCAAUGAUGUGGGAAGAAUGGCCCCACCCACGACUGCCACAAACCCUCACAGUAAAACGCACAAUGAAUGUGAAGAGCAACAA